rnacentral:rRNA from 1 species
AGAGUUUGAUCCUGGCUCAGAUUGAACGCUGGCGGCAGGCUUAACACAUGCAAGUCGAGCGGGGAAAUGUAGCUUGCUACAUUACCUAGCGGCGGACGGGUGAGUAAUGCUUAGGAAUCUGCCUAUUAGUGGGGGACAACAUCUCGAAAGGGAUGCUAAUACCGCAUACGUCCUACGGGAGAAAGCAGGGGACCUUCGGGCCUUGCGCUAAUAGAUGAGCCUAAGUCGGAUUAGCUAGUUGGUGGGGUAAAGGCCUACCAAGGCGACGAUCUGUAGCGGGUCUGAGAGGAUGAUCCGCCACACUGGGACUGAGACACGGCCCAGACUCCUACGGGAGGCAGCAGUGGGGAAUAUUGGACAAUGGGGGGAACCCUGAUCCAGCCAUGCCGCGUGUGUGAAGAAGGCCUUUUGGUUGUAAAGCACUUUAAGCGA